rnacentral:rRNA from 1 species
GACGAACGCUGGCGGCGUGCCUAAUACAUGCAAGUCGAGCGAAGUUUUUCUGGUGCUUGCACUAGAAAAACUUAGCGGCGAACGGGUGAGUAACACGUAAAGAACCUGCCUCAUAGACGGGGACAACUAUUGGAAACGAUAGCUAAUACCGGAUAACAGCAUAAAUCGCAUGAUAUAUGUUUAAAAGUUGGUUUCGGCUAACACUAUGAGAUGGCUUUGCGGUGCAUUAGCUAGUUGGUGGGGUAAAGGCCUACCAAGGCGACGAUGCAUAGCCGAC